rnacentral:rRNA from 1 species
GAAAGGCUUCGGCCGGACAGGGAUGGGCAUGCGGCGCAUUAGGCAGUAGGCGGGGUAACGGCCCACCUAACCGACGAUGCGUAGGGGUUCUGAGAGGAAGGUCCCCCACACUGGUACUGAGACACAGACCAGACUCCUACGGGAGGCAGCAGUGAGGAAUAUUGGUCAAUGGUCGGGAGACUGAACCAGCCAAGCCGCGUGAGGGAUGAAGGUACAGAGUAUCGUAAACCUCUUUUGUCAGGGAACAAAGGCGGGGACGUGUCCCCGGAUGAGUGUACCUGAAGAAAAAGCAUCGGCUAACUCCGUGCCAGCAGCCGCGGUAAUACGGAGGAUGCGAGCGUUAUCCGGAUUUAUUGGGUUUAAAGGGUGCGCAGGCGGUCUGUUAAGUCAGCGGUCAAAGCCCGGGGCUCAACCCCGGCCCGCCGUCGAAACUGGCAGUCUCGAGUUGGAGAGAAGUAUGCGGAAUGCGCGGUGUAGCGGUGAAAUGCAUAGAUAUCGCGCAGAACUCCGAUUGCGAAGGCAGCAUGCCGGCUCCACACUGACGCUGAGGCACGAAAGCGUGGGUAUCGAACAGGAUUAGAUACCCUGGUAGUCCACGCAGUAAACGAUGAAUGCUGGCUGUCCGGGGGGAUUGACCCCUGG